AUUGAACGCUGGCGGCGUGCCUAACACAUGCAAGUCGAGCGGUAACAGGUGUAGCAAUACAUGCUGACGAGCGGCGAACGGGUGAGUAAUGCUUCGGAAUCUGCCCAUGUAGUGGGGAAUAACCAGCCGAAAGGUUGGCUAAUACCGCAUACGACCUACGGGUGAAAGCAGGGGAUCGCAAGACCUUGCGCUAUUGGAUGAGCCGAAGUCGGAUUAGCUUGUUGGUAGGUAACGGCCUACCAAGGCGACGAUCCGUAGCUGGUCUGAGAGGACGACCAGCCACACUGGGACUGAGACACGGCCCAGACUCCUACGGGAGGCAGCAGUAGGGAAUCUUCCGCAAUGGACGAAAGUCUGACGGAGCAACGCCGCGUGAGUGAUGAAGGUUUUCGGAUCGUAAACUCUGUUGUUAGGGAAGAACAAGUACCGGAGUAACUGCCGUACCGUUGACGGUACCUAACCAGAAAGCCACGGCUAACUACGUGCCAGCCGCCGCGGUAAC
rnacentral:rRNA from 1 species